AGCAGCCGCGGUAAUUCCAGCUCCAAUAGCGUAUAUUAAAGUUGUUGCAGUUAAAAAGCUCGUAGUUGAAUUUCGGGGUUAGUAGGUUGGUCAUGCCUCUGGUAUGUACUGGUCUCACUGAUUCCUCCUUCCUGAUGAACCUUAAUGCCAUUAAUUUGGUGUUUUGGGGAAUUUGGACUGUUACUUUGAAAAAUUAGAGUGUUUAAAGCAAGCUAACGCUUGAAUACAUUAGCAUGGAAUAAUGAAAUAGGACGUUCGAUCCUAUUUUGUUGGUUUCUAGGAUUGACGUAAUGAUUAAUAGGGAUAGUUGGGGGCAUUAGUAUUCAAUUGUCAGAGGUGAAAUUCUUGGAUUUAUUGAAGCUAACUACUGCGAAAGCAUUUGCCAAGGAUGUUUUCAUUAAUCAAGAACGAAAGUUAGGGGAUCGAAGACGAUCAGAUACCGUCGUAGUC
rnacentral:rRNA from 1 species